UACGGAGGGGACUAGCGUUGUUCGGAAUUACUGGGCGUAAAGCGCGCGUAGGCGGGCUAGCAAGUUAGGGGUGAAAUCCCGGGGCUCAACCCCGGAACUGCCCUUAAAACUGCUAGCCUUGAGUUCGAGAGAGGUGAGUGGAAUUCCGAGUGUAGAGGUGAAAUUCGUAGAUAUUCGGAGGAACACCAGUGGCGAAGGCGGCUCACUGGCUCGAUACUGACGCUGAGGUGCGAAAGCGUGGGGAGCAAAC
rnacentral:rRNA from 1 species